CCGUUGGUAACUAAAACUACAGAAAGCAGGACCAUGGAUAAAGGAGGUGGGGGAGCCUAUUGUACAGGGUUUAGAAUGUGAUGGUUCAACCACAUAUUUUGCAUGGCUCCCUUCGACAUCCUUGCUGUUCUGGAGUCAGACUGCCUGGAUCUGAAUUCUGACUCCACUACUUCCUAACUCUGAGAGGUGGGUGUAUCCACGCAGUGAAAUAUCAUUGGAUCCGUUGGAUAAGGACUCUGAAGAUGGCACAGCACCGUGAAUAAACCACCAUGUGACAGCACCUGUGUACUGCGAUUAUGAGUGCUGUGAAAUUUUAACGUUAUCGUACGCAGAUUCGAAAAGCCUCACAAUCAUGAUCACACAGGAUUUUGUGUAGCUGUUACUCACAAGCACAGAAGCUGUCCCUCAAAAUCUGCAACACAUGAUUAUUCAUCACCUGUGGGAAUAGGGAGUCGGGGAGAGGACCUUAGCGUAAGCUUUCAAGGACCUGGGCAGAAUUUGUUGUUGUUGUAGUAGAAAAGAUUUUUAUUUGCAGAGCUUCCAGUGUGGUGGCUGCUGACUUCUCUUCCAGGAGCUCAGAGGUCCCUGAGGCUGUCCUUGCAGGGACAGAAGAAGAUUGACAGCCUCUACACUCUGGGUGCUGACCCCUACUUUGAAUAGAUCAUUAAUGUUUCCAUUUUAUAUGUUGCUAUUCCAUUUAAGGCUUCAUUUGGGAAAAAAAAAAAAAAAAAAAACAACCCAACUGUAGCAAAGUGCAAGUUUGAAAAGUACUGCUUAAUGUAUCAAUCAGUGUGUGCUAAAAUUGAAAGUGUUUUACCAUCCAGUUGCUCUAGUGCUUAUUUCUGGGAACUCAAAAUCGAUAAACUUGAAACAAAUAUUUUUAUCCAUGAGAAGGAAA